rnacentral:rRNA from 1 species
UGGGGAAUCUUGCACAAUGGAGGAAACUCUGAUGCAGCGACGCCGCGUGAGCGAAGAAGCCUUUCGGGGUGUAAAGCUCUUACGCCAGGGACGAUAAUGACGGUACCUGGAGAAGCAGCUGCGGCUAACUACGUGCCAGCAGCCGCGGUAAUACGUAGGCAGCAAGCGUUGUUCGGAAUUACUGGGCGUAAAGGGUGCGUAGGCGGCGCUCUAAGUUUGGUGUGAAAUCUCCCGGCUUAACUGGGAGGGUGCACUGAAAACUGGGGCGCUCGAGUAUGGGAGAGGAAAGCGGAAUUCCUGGUGUAGCGGUGAAAUGCGUAGAGAUCAGGAGGAACACCUGCGGUGCAGACGGCUUUCUGGACCAUCACUGACGCUGAGGAACGAAAGCGUGGGUAGCAAA